rnacentral:rRNA from 1 species
CCGCGGUAAUACGGGAGUGGCAAGCGUUAUCCGGAAUUAUUGGGCGUAAAGCGUCCGCAGGCGGCCCUUCAAGUCUGCUGUUAAAAAGUGGAGCUUAACUCCAUCAUGGCAGUGGAAACUGUUGGGCUUGAGUGUGGUAGGGGCAGAGGGAAUUCCCGGUGUAGCGGUGAAAUGCGUAGAUAUCGGGAAGAACACCAGUGGCGAAGGCGCUCUGCUGGGCCAUCACUGACGCUCAUGGACGAAAGCCAGGGGAGCGAAAGGGAUUAGAUACCCCUGUAGUCCUGGCCGUAAACGAUGAACACUAGGUGUCGGGGGAAUCGACCCCCUCGGUGUCGUAGCCAACGCGUUAAGUGUUCCGCCUGGGGAGUACGCACGCAAGUGUGAAACUCAAAGGAAUUGACGGGGGCCCGCACAAGCGGUGGAGUAUGUGGUUUAAUUCGAUGCAACGCGAAGAACCUUACCAGGGUUUGACAUCCUGCGAAUCUCUUGGAAACAGGAGAGUGCCUUCGGGAACGCAGUGACAGGUGGUGCAUGGCUGUCGUCAGCUCGUGUCGUGAGAUGUUGGGUUAAGUCCCGCAACGAGCGCAACCCACGUCUUUAGUUGCCAGCAUUUAGUUGGGCACUCUAGAGAGACUGCCGGUGAUAAACCGGAGGAAGGUGUGGAUGACGUCAAGUCAUCAUGCCCCUUACAUCCUGGGCUACACACGUACUACAAUGCUACGGACAAAGGGCUGCAAGUUCGCGAGGACAAGCAAAUCCCAUAAACCGUGGCUCAGUUCAGAUCGUAGGCUGCAACUCGCCUACGUGAAGGCGGAAUCGCUAGUAAUCGCAGGUCAGCAUACUGCGGUGAAUACGUUCCCGGGCCUUGUACACACCGCCCGUCACACCAUGGAAGUUGGCCACGCCCGAAGCCGUUACUCCAACCCUUGUGGAGGAGGACGUCGAAGGUGGGGCUGAUGACUGGGGUGAAGUCGUAACAAGGUAACC